GUGCGCAGGCGCGCCUAGAUGGCCGCGCUCCUGGCCGCCUAGAGCCGGAGCGGCCCGCGGAGCUGCGGAGGCAGCCAUGGUCGGGGCGCUGUGCGGCUGCUGGUUCCGCCUGGGCGGGGCCCGCGCGCUCAUCCCGUUCGGCCCGCUCACCACGCGCAGCGCCAUGACCAGCAAGGGUCCCGAGGAGGAGCACCCAUCGGUGACGCUCUUCCGCCAGUACCUGCGCAUCCGCACCGUCCAGCCCAAGCCUGACUAUGGUGGCACCUGGCUAUGUGGUGACCGUGUUGACCUGGCCAGGCACCAACCCUACACUCUCCUCCAUCUUGCUCAACUCCCACACGGAUGUGGUGCCUGUCUUCAAGGUACCUGGAAGCUGUGAGGAGGCUGAAGGUGGAGGGCCACCGGUUCCCCAGAACCAUCCACAUGACCUUUGUGCCUGAUGAGGAGGUUGGGGGUCACCAAGGCAUGGAGCUGUUCGUGCAGCGGCCUGAGUUCCACGCCCUGAGGGCAGGCUUUGCCCUGGAUGAGGGUGAGCAGGUUGGCAAGCCAAUGAGCAGCCAGGCAGGGAGUAGGAGGCUGCUAGUGGGGACUGAGCUGCUCCACCCUCUGAACCCCCUUUCCCUCCUCAGGCAUAGCCAAUCCCACUGAUGCCUUCACUGUCUUUUAUAGUGAGCGGAGUCCCUGGUGUAAGUAUGAGCUUGGAGGGAGGGCUCACUCUACAGGUGGGAGGCUAGGCCAGAAAGGGCACGGUCCUAUGCAGGGUUGCACAGCAAAGUUGAGGCCUGAGAAGGCCUUGAACCCAGGGCCUCUGCCUCCCAGCUCUUUCCUAUCUGAGCUUCUCUGAGGGCAAGCCCUGAAUAGGCAGAAACCAGCUGUAUGCUACGGGCCCUGAGUGGGGACAGGACCCUGCCAGA
rnacentral:sRNA from 1 species